CUCAGAGUGAACGCUGGCGGCAGGCCUAAUACAUGCAAGUCGAACGGCAGCACAGCGGAGCUUGCUCCAUGGGUGGCGAGUGGCGGACGGGUGAGGAAUACAUGGGAAUCUGCCCAGUCGUGGGGGAUAACGUAUGGAAACGUACGCUAAUACCGCAUGCGCCCUUCGGGGAAAGUCGGGGACCGCAAGGCCUGACGCGAUUGGAUGAGCCCAUGUUCGAUUAGCUAGUCGGCGGGGUAACGGCCCACCAAGGCGACGAUCGAUAGCUGGUCUGAGAGGAUGAUCAGCCACACUGGAACUGAGACACGGUCCAGACUCCUACGGGAGGCAGCAGUAGGGAAUAUUGGACAAUGGGCGCAAGCCUGAUCCAGCCAUGCCGCGUGAGUGAAGAAGGCCCUCGGGUUGUAAAGCUCUUUGUUGGGAAGAAAAGCAGUUGGUUAAUACCCGAUUGUUCUGACGGUACCCAAAGAAUAAGCACCGGCUAACUUCGUG
rnacentral:rRNA from 1 species